GUCUACCUCCAUACCAUCCUGAAUGUCCCCCGAUCUCGGAAGCUAAGCAGGGUCAGGCCUGUUAGUACUUGGAUGGGACAAUAGGGCUAAGGUGAGUAGAUU
rnacentral:rRNA from 1 species